GACGAACGCUGGCGGCGGGCUUAACACAUGCAAGUCGAACGCAUCCUUCGGGGUGAGUGGCAGACGGGUGAGUAACGCGUGGGAACGUGCCCUUCAGUUCGGGAUAACCCAGGGAAACUUGGGCUAAUACCGGAUACGUGCGAGAGCAGAAAGAUUUAUCGCUGAAGGAUCGGCCCGCGUCUGAUUAGCUAGUUGGUGAGGUAAUGGCUCACCAAGGCGACGAUCAGUAGCUGGUCUGAGAGGAUGAUCAGCCACAUUGGGACUGAGACACGGCCCAAACUCCUACGGGAGGCAGCAGUGGGGAAUAUUGGACAAUGGGCGCAAGCCUGAUCCAGCCAUGCCGCGUGAGUGAUGAAGGCCUUAGGGUUGUAAAGCUCUUUCGUCCGGGACGAUAAUGACGGUACCGGAAGAAGAAGCCCCGGCUAACUUCGUGCCAGCAGCCGCGGUAAGAC
rnacentral:rRNA from 1 species